rnacentral:rRNA from 1 species
UUAACACAUGCAAGUCGAGCGGAAACGAUGAUAGCUUGCUAUCAGGCGUCGAGCGGCGGACGGGUGAGUAAUACUUAGGAAUCUACCUAGUAGUGGGGGAUAGCUCGGGGAAACUCGAAUUAAUACCGCAUACGACCUACGGGAGAAAGGGGGCAACUUGUUGCUCUCGCUAUUAGAUGAGCCUAAGUCGGAUUAGCUAGAUGGUGGGGUAAAGGCCUACCAUGGCGACGAUCUGUAGCUGGUCUGAGAGGAUGAUCAGCCACACCGGGACUGAGACACGGCCCGGACUCCUACGGGAGGCAGCAGUGGGGAAUAUUGGACAAUGGGGGAAACCCUGAUCCAGCCAUGCCGCGUGUGUGAAGAAGGCCUUUUGGUUGUAAAGCACUUUAAGCAGUGAAGAAGACUCCGUGGUUAAUACCCACGGACGAUGACAUUAGCUGCAGAAUAAGCACCGGCUAACUCUGUGCCAGCAGCCGCGGUAAUACAGAGGGUGCAAGCGUUAAUCGGAAUUACUGGGCGUAAAGGGAGCGUAGGUGGCUCGAUAAGUCAGAUGUGAAAUCCCCGGGCUUAACCUGGGAACUGCAUCUGAUACUGUUGAGCUAGAGUAUGUGAGAGGGAGGUAGAAUUUCAGGUGUAGCGGUGAAAUGCGUAGAGAUCUGAAGGAAUACCGAUGGCGAAGGCAGCCUCCUGGCAUAAUACUGACACUGAGGCUCGAAAGCGUGGGUAGCAAACAGGAUUAGAUACCCUGGUAGUCCACGCCGUAAACGAUGUCUACUAGUCGUUGGGUCCCUUGAGGACUUAGUGACGCAGCUAACGCAAUAAGUAGACCGCCUGGGGAGUACGGCCGCAAGGUUAAAACUCAAAUGAAUUGACGGGGGCCCGCACAAGCGGUGGAGCAUGUGGUUUAAUUCGAUGCAACGCGAAGAACCUUACCUGGUCUUGACAUAUCUAGAAUCCUGCAGAGAUGCGGGAGUGCCUUCGGGAAUUAGAAUACAGGUGCUGCAUGGCUGUCGUCAGCUCGUGUCGUGAGAUGUUGGGUUAAGUCCCGCAACGAGCGCAACCCUUGUCCUUAGUUACCAGCGGGUUAAGCCGGGAACUCUAAGGAUACUGCCAGUGACAAACUGGAGGAAGGCGGGGACGACGUCAAGUCAUCAUGGCCCUUACGACCAGGGCUACACACGUGCUACAAUGGUAGGUACAGAGGGCAGCUACACAGCGAUGUGAUGCGAAUCUCAAAAAGCCUAUCGUAGUCCAGAUUGGAGUCUGCAACUCGACUCCAUGAAGUAGGAAUCGCUAGUAAUCGCGGAUCAGAAUGCCGCGGUGAAUACGUUCCCGGGCCU